UACGAAGGGGGCUAGCGUUGCUCGGAAUCACUGGGCGUAAAGCGCACGUAGGCGGAUUCCUAAGUCGGGGGUGAAAUCCUGGAGCUCAACUCCAGAACUGCCUUCGAUACUGGGAAUCUUGAGUCCGGAAGAGGUGAGUGGAACUGCGAGUGUAGAGGUGAAAUUCGUAGAUAUUUCGCAAAGAACACCAGUGGCGAAGGCGCUCACUGGCCCGAUACUGACGCUGAGGUGCGAAAAGCGUGGGGGAGCAAACAGGGAUUAAGAAA
rnacentral:rRNA from 1 species